rnacentral:rRNA from 1 species
GAUGAACGCUGGCGGCGUGCCUAAUACAUGCAAGUCGAGCGAACAGACGAGGAGCUUGCUCCUCUGACGUUAGCGGCGGACGGGUGAGUAACACGUGGAUAACCUACCUAUAAGACUGGGAUAACUUCGGGAAACCGGAGCUAAUACCGGAUAAUAUAUUGAACCGCAUGGUUCAAUAGUGAAUGACGGUUUUGCUGUUACUUAUAGAUGGAUUCGCGCCGCAUUAGCUAGUUGGUAAGGUAACGGCUUACCAAGGCAACGAUGCGUAGCCGACCUGAGAGGAGGAUCGGCCACACUGGAACUGAGACACGGUCCAGACUCCUACGGGAGGCAGCAGUAGGGAAUCUUCGGCAAUGGGCGAAAGCCUGACGCAGCAACGCCGCGUGAGUGAUGAAGGUCUUCGGAUCGUAAAACUCUGUUAUUAGGGAAGAACAAAUGUGUAAGUAACUAUGCACGUCUUGACGGUACCUAAUCAGAAAGCAACGGCUAACUACGUG